rnacentral:rRNA from 1 species
UACGUAGGGUGCGAGCGUUAAUCGGAAUUACUGGGCGUAAAGAGUGCGUAGGCGGUUCUUGAAGUCCGCUGUGAAAGCCCCGGGCUUAACCUGGGAAUGGCAGUGGAAACUGGGGGACUUGAAUUGAGCAGAGGGGGUGGAAUUCCGCGUGUAGCAGUGAAAUGCGUAGAGAUGCGGAGGAACACCGAUGGCGAAGGCAGCCCCCUGGGCUGACACUGACGCUCAGGCACGAAAGCGUGGGGAGCAAACAGG